GUCCUGUUCAGUUGCGUUCAUACCGACCUCCAACGCCUUUCGUCCCUUUUUUUUUUUUUGCUAUCAUUCCUUUUUUUUUUCCAGACUCCCUCAUUCUAAGUGCCGCAAGGAGUUUAUAGAACUCUACAUACAUAGACAGCAAAAGUGUGUACUGUAUCUGUAUUUUUAUCUAUAUGAGGCGCGUGCGAGUGCGUGACUCAAACUUCAUCCGUGACUCAAACGAAAAAAAAAAAGCGGAACCCACCUUUUCCAACUUGGGUCUGGCUUAUUUAUUUUCUUUCCCGUCUACCCUCCCUGCUCUUUUUUUCUCCGAUUGCUUUUGAUUCUUACCUUUUCUGGUCAUCGUUUACCUCUAUAGCCUAUAUAUUUUUUUAAAUUUCUUCCUUUGCCCGCUUUCUCACGAAGGCUGUUACGAAUUGAACGUUGAGCGUGAGUUGCUGUGUCGUAGCCAUUAUUCCGGCGAUGUCCCUGCGCUUGAAUUUCUAUUUCUCCGACUGUUGUUCAACUGCGAUCGAUUCUGUAACCUACAGGAUGUGUGCGACCGAUGCAACGAAGCCUCGUGACUGAUGGAGGGUUUCGCGCGAAGGCAAGAUGUCGGCAUAGCUGACGUGUUAAUCCGAGUGUAGCUGUGUUACAUCGUGCCAACGUGAACCGCUCCCAUUGACUUCAUAAUACCCCACUGUCGUUCACGUUAUUAUUUUCGGUUUCCACCUUAUGUUUUUCUUUCUUUCCCUUUUCGGUUUUUUCCUUCUUUCCCUUAUUUUCCUUGUUUCUUUUUUUUUCUUCAUGUUUAUUUGAUUUAUUUUUACUAGCGUUUUACUGAUGACUAUUUCUUUUUUUUCCCGAGGUGGGCGGAUGCUACAUCAUAAUCCUUCCUCGUUCGUCUACCAUAUUCUUGUGUGUGCGCAUCCGCCCGUUUGACUCGUUGAUUAACGAGGUCUUUGUCUCGACUGCGACACUCAAUCUCUGGUCCUCUCGUCUUCUGUUGGUGUUGAAUUCAUUCCAUGCGUACCUGAACCUUCCUCCUGCUCCAUCCUUUCGCCUAUUUUUCAUCUCUCUCUGUCUCCUCUCUCUCUCUUCGGCUGGCCUUCGGGGCUGGCCGGGCGUGAUGUCAAUGAACGAUUCGCGAUUCGCAUCGCUAUGUUCUGACAUGAUGAGCCGUGCGAUGACGCCAUCCUUUUUUCUUUAUUCGUUUUGUUUUGUUGGGUAUACCCAACAACAUUCCACACGCUGCUGGGCAGGCCGUCCUGGACGACGACGAUGGACAGAGUGAGUUUAUUGUAACCAAAAAAAAAAAGGCAGGUAAACUGUACUCAAGCACGAAACAACAAAUAGUUUUCAGUGUUGCCUUUUUCCCUUCACCCGCUGUGCGGAAGGAUCGGAAGUUCGCAUUCAGCGGGGCCCAGCUGGGCAAUGUCUCGAUUUUGCCGUGCCGUGCCGUACCACACUGUGUUGUUGUAUUAUUUUUUUUUCUUUUUGUUUAGUUGAUUCACCGCCUCAUUUAAUGGUGGAUGUUGGAAGUACCGCCUAUAGCUUUACACGCCCUGAAAAAAAGAAAAAAAAGUCAACAAUUCCGCCGGCUGGCACUCCCGGGACCUCGUGUGUGUAUGGCCGUUGCUUUUGGCCAGCAACCGCAAUGGCAAAAUUGGGCGGGUGCCUUUGGCUUAUAUAUUCUCUAGCUAUGCAACAUGGCCGAAGAAACGUGAUACGUCGAUUCAUUUUCUUUUCAAACGUGUUUUUCUUUUUCCUUUGGAACGUUUUAGCUUGUCCCUUUGCGACGUUGCCGUGAUAUCAGUUUCCUGUUAGCGACCUCCCCCUCUCACUCACAACAUCGUCCGUUUUCUUUUCUUUAUUCUUGUUUUUUUUUUUUAGCAUUUCUUUCUUUCACCGUACAGCCAGCCAUCAUCAUCAUCAUCACUCAAAGUACGCUGCUCCGUUCGAGGCUGAGGUCGUGUAACACAUUGCCCACCCCCAGUCUAGGUGGAAAAUUAUGAAUGAUAAUCAUCCGGUUAUUAUGCAGUCAAACGUUAAUAUCGAUAAUUUGAAUGCUGAAUUUUCUCCCUUUUUUUUUCUCUCUUAAGAAGGCCAUGCCGCACAUUUGUAGUUCCUUGACCAUCUACGGCCGGGUUAUCCAGCAGACAUAUUAGGCGGAGGAGCCAUCAGGUCGCCAUGUUCAACGCAUUGAAACGGUCCUGGACGAUCAUCAACGGCCGAUAAUCAACAAAGAACGUCGAUGCUGUCACGGCAUUCAAUCAGUGCAGCGAAUCACGUUGGAGGAUUCUCUAAUGUUGUAGUGUCGGUGCAUAUGGUUAGCCUGCUGGAAAAGAAACAUUUAUUUCCUCGCCGUUGGAGAAAGAAAGAGAAAUUCUUGGAUCGUGGCACCCAUUCAUAAUCGAUCGUUGGGAUAAACAUUGCCAGCAAGAGCGUCAACUUCCAGCUGUAGUGUUGCUGGAGCUGCAACAUGGUGAAACAGAGUUAUGUCUAUUGAAGCUCGGCCGUUCGUCAUGCAGCAGUGUUGCCUGGGCAUUAACCCAAUGAAAAAUGAGAUUUGUGGUCGUCGCCACAACAAAAAAAAAUGAGGAAUAUCCUACAAGAUUAUUUUGGCUGACAAAGGCAAAAGCAUUGCAGUCAAAAGCAAAACAAAUGAAAGAGGCCAACCUUUUUUGCACGUUUCGUGCUGCCGUGACGAAUAAAUCGUUUCCUAUCGCUGAUGCGGUCAUCCGACUCGAGGCGGAGGAUUGCCAAUGGCCAAUGCCAGUGAGACGUUCCCUAUCACGAUCCAUGUACGUCCUCUUUCUUUUGAAAUUAAAAGAAAAAAACAGCGUCUUCAAAUCGGCCACUGAAAAUUCGGAUAUUUAUGUAUUUUCUUUUCAUUUCACUUGUAUUCCCGAUGUUUGGGUACGGCUCAGCCCUUCCAGUGAUCAAGCUGAGAAUCCCAGUUUAGCUAGUGCAUUAGCGUAACACACGCCUGUAGCUGUGUUAAAUUAACCAUAUUUUCAGAUCUUCUUGAUGGCGUAAGCCGUUCACAGUUUAAAUCAAGUGAUAAUAAUGAUGAACUGCUGACUAACCCACGCGUGCUUUGACGUGUAAAACAAUCCAAUUGUGUAUCAUUUACAAACGCCAAUGGGCAUUCUCUUUUCCUGGAGGAAAAAGAGAAGAUUAAAAAAAAAAAAGCUUAAUUAGAAAAAUAUACAAAUAAAAUACAAUUUCAUUUAAAAGUCGUGAAAAUAAAGGAGGGGCUUUUUUGGUUAGUUUUGCAUAUAUGAUGGCAAAGAGGGCGCCAGCUCUACCCUUAGCCUCGAGCUGUGCAGCCUCAAUGCCAUAAAUGAGCAUGUAUCGUUGUCUAUGUGCUGUGUGUGAUGCGAGUGCAGUUAAUACGAAUCAAGCAAGUAAAAUAAAAAGCAAAAAGCAAAAAAAUAUCGUGUAUUACAUUUACGGGUGGUUAGAAUCGGCUAGUGUUUCUCGGGUGACGUGAUCCAAGAGGUGGCCACACAUCAUCACGUACUCUAUGCACAGGCCGCUCAAUCUUCUUCCAACUUUUAGAUUUUUUUUUUUUUUUUUCAUCUUCCUCCUUUGUUUGACUUCUGGAUGAAAAGGAGGCGGAAUCCAGCUGAAACUCACAGCUGUACAGCAAGCAAACGGAUAAAUCUAAUCACACAUAACUCGGGUUAAUUCGGACGCAUGCUGAGUCGUCUUUUUCAUGCUGCCGUUGUUCCAUACAAGCCAAGGAUAAGCAGAGAAAAUAAUAUUCGUUACAGCAAGUAACUAACCUCUUUGAUGGUGAAUCAUCUCUUCUUGUCAAAGGCAAAGAAAAGAAAGGGGGGGGGGAGGUAUGGAAAGAACUGGGAUGACGACCUACAACACGUUUUUUUUUUCCCCUUUCUUUCUCUCUCUUGAUUAUAUAUGCGUCGAUGAUGUCACAACUCCAAACUGAGAGCGUUCGUUAUUACAAAGAAGGAACCAUGCAUGCGCGCACCAAGAACACUAUAUGUUUUUGUAUAUACCAAUUGUGCUUUAUUCUUGGGACCGUGGUAGCAUCUAGUGCCUCGACCCGGAUGGUGCUUCUAUUUUAGAACUUGCCACAAGGAAAAAUUCUAUUCUGGCUGGAUGGUGAUGCGAGGAAGAACUCGUACAUCGAACGGAUGGUUGUAGUAUUUACGCUUGCGUCCCUUUACGUGUGGUGGAUUCUUCAACCACUACAGCGGAGGGGGUUAUUUAUCAAUGCCUCAGCUGUUCAAGAAAAGCUUGAUUUUCUAGUCGCCCAUUUUCUCCGGAGCUCCUUUGACGCAAGUGGAGGCGAGGCAUCGCAAUGACUCGCUCCUGUCAAUCCAUCUUCAUCACGUGAUCAAAAAGUCUGAACGAGCCGCGGGGAAACCUUCGCAAAGAAGACGAUAACCGAAAUUCCAAUCCCUCGAGAAAAACAAAACAAAACAACACGGAAUCUAAAAUAAGGUAAAAUCAAAUCAAAUGGAAUAAAAUAAAAAUAAUAAAUAAUAAUAAAAAGAAAAAAGAAAAACCACAAUAAAGAAAAGAAACCGGUCGAAAUCAACAGGGGAUUGUCUGCUGGCAAAUUGACGUGUGUAAUGGAAGACUGGAAGCAAAGAUAACAAAAAAGAAGAAAAAAAAAUGAAAAAAAAAGAAGAAGAAAGGAAAAUAAAAGGCAGAGAAAAAUAAUAAGUUGGACUGCGAAAGUGAUGACGGUUAAACACCUAACACACUGCAGACACGCAAGCACACAAAACAGAUUUGGCACAAACAGCAGAAGAAUAUUUGACGGACUCAAAGCAGAUUCUUCUCAUAAAGCACAUGCAUCAUCAAUUCAUAAUAAACACUUUUUGUUUUCUUUUGUUUA
rnacentral:lncRNA from 1 species